rnacentral:rRNA from 1 species
GUGGGGAAUUUUGGACAAUGGGCGCAAGCCUGAUCCAGCAAUGCCGCGUGUGUGAAGAAGGCCUUCGGGUUGUAAAGCACUUUUGGCAGGAAAGAAAUAGCGCGUGCUAAUACCAUGCGCGAAUGACGGUACCUGCAGAAUAAGCACCGGCUAACUACGUGCCAGCAGCCGCGGUAAGACGUAGGGUGCAAGCGUUAAUCGGAAUUACUGGGCGUAAAGCGUGCGCAGGCGGUUUUGUAAGACAGGUGUGAAAUCCCCGGGCUCAACCUGGGAACUGCACUUGUGACUGCAAGGCUAGAGUGUGUCAGAGGGAGGUGGAAUUCCGCGUGUAGCAGUGAAAUGCGUAGAGAUGCGGAGGAACACCGAUGGCGAAGGCAGCCUCCUGGGAUAACACUGACGCUCAGGCACGAAAGCGUGGGGAGCAAACAGGAUUAGAAACCCUAGUAGUCC